rnacentral:rRNA from 1 species
CGGUCCUAAGGUAGCGAAAUUCCUUGUCGGGUAAGUUCCGACCUGCACGAAUGGCAUAACGAUGGCCACACUGUCUCCUCCCGAGACUCAGUGAAGUUGAAAUGUUUGUGAUGAUGCAAUCUACCCGCGGCUAGACGGAAAGACCCCAUGAACCUUUACUGCAGCUUUGCAUUGAACUGUGAACCGAUUUGUGUAGGAUAGGUGGGAGGCAGAGAAGAGGCCACGCCAGUGGCCUUGGAGCCGACCUUGAAAUACCACCCUGAUUUGUUUGCGGUUCUAACCACGGACAGUGAUCCUGUCUUGGGACCGUGCAUGGUAGGCAGUUUGACUGGGGCGGUCUCCUCCUAAAGGGUAACGGAGGAGUACGAAGGUACGCUAGGUACGGUCGGAAAUCGUGCUGAUAGUGCAAUGGCAAAAGCGUGCUUGACUGCGAGAGCAACAACUCGAGCAGAUGCGAAAGCAGGUCAUAGUGAUCCGGUGGUUCUGAAUGGAAGGGCCAUCGCUCAACGGAUAAAAGGUACUCCGGGGAUAACAGGCUGAUACCGCCCAAGAGUUCAUAUCGACGGCGGUGUUUGGCACCUCGAUGUCGGCUCAUCACAUCCUGGGGCUGAAGUAGGUCCCAAGGGUAUGGCUGUUCGCCAUUUAAAGAGGUACGUGAGCUGGGUUUAAAACGUCGUGAGACAGUUUGGUCCCUAUCUGCCGUGGGCGUUGGAAGAUUGACGGGGGCUGCUCCUAGUACGAGAGGACCGGAGUGGACGCACCUCUGGUGUACCGGUUGUCACGCCAGUGGCAUUGCCGGGUAGCUAAGUGCGGAAGAGAUAACCGCUGAAAGCAUCUAAGCGGGAAACUUGCCUGAAGAUGAGUCUUCCCGGAGGUUGAACCUCCCUCAAGAGUCGUCCGAGACCAGGACGUCGAUAGGUCAGGUGUGUAAGCGCUGUAAGGCGUUGAGCUAACUGAUACUAAUUGCUCGUGAGGCUUGAUCCU